UAGGUAAAUCCGCAGACUGAGUUGAGAUCUUGCAAGGGUCCUUUAAGGCAUAACUGGUUGAGCCUUGCUGCCGAGAAAAGCUCCUAAACGUUGAUUCCAAGUGCCCGUACCGCAAACCGACACUGGUAGACGAAUAGAGUAUAUUAAGGCGAACGGGAGAACCUUCGUUAAGGAAUUAGGCAAAUUAACCCCGUAACUUCGGGAUAAGGGGUGCCUCUUGUAAGUGAUGUCCUUCGCGGGCAAAGCUGAAAGAGGCCGCAGUGAAAUGGCCCAAGCGACUGUUUAACAAAAACAUAUGUCUCUGCGAAGUCAAUCAAGACGAUGUAUAGGGACUGACACCUGCCCGGUGCUGGAAGGUUAAGAGGAGAUGUCAAUUACGCCGCAAGGCGUGACGAAGCAUUGAAUCGAAGCCCCAGUAAACGGCGGCCGUAACUAUAACGGUCCUAAGGUAGCGAAAUUCCUUGUCGGGUAAGUUCCGACCUGCACGAAUGGUGUAACGAUUUGGGCACUGUCUCAACCACGGGCUCGGUGAAAUUGUGGUACCGGUGAAGACGCCGGUUACCCGCAUAUGGACGGAAAGACCCCGUGCACCUUUACUGCACCCUAAUAUUGGGUUCGGGUAAGGCAUGUGUAGCAUAGGUGGGAGGCUUUGAAGCCGGGACGCUAGUUUCGGUGGAGCCAACGGUGAAAUACCACCCUUGUUUUAUUUGGAUUCUAACCUCAGCCCUUGAAUCAGGGUUAGGAACAGUGUUAGGCGGGUAGUUUGACUGGGGCGGUCGCCUCCUAAAUUGUAACGGAGGCUCUCAAUGGUUCCCUCAGCAUGGUUGGUAAUCAUGCGGCGAGUGUAAACGCAAAAGGGAGCUUGACUGCGAGACUUACAAGUCGAGCAGGUGCGAAAGCAGGAGUUAGUGAUCCGACGGUAGCGAGUGGAAGUGCCGUCGCUCAAUGGAUAAAAGGUACGCCGGGGAUAACAGGCUGAUCUUACCCAAGAGUUCAUAUCGACGGUAAGGUUUGGCACCUCGAUGUCGGC
rnacentral:rRNA from 1 species